UAACUAACAUAAUAGUCAUCAUCAUCAUCUUCACCUUUUUCAGGAUCAUUUGCAGAAGCAACUCGUGGCUGCGUCUGACUUUCAUUUAUAGUUCGACUAUAUCCUGUGGUUAGCGCUUGUAAAGCAAUCCGAGAAUUAUCAACAUCUUCCUUGCUGCAGCACAAGUCUCAAAUCUGGACAAGUAACAGCAACACAGAGUUAAUGACUAACCCAUGGGUCUGAAACAUGAUGCUGCUGAAGAUCAGUGUACACACGUGGUGUGGCUUCUUGCCUCAGUGAACUCUUUCUAUCUUUCCCAUCAUUUAGACCAAAAACCAAGUGGGCCUCUGUAGUCCUACCCAACCUCCACUGCUUCUGACUGAAUGGCUGAAAAGAACUGCCUCUCCUUGCAACUGGUUAGGCAAAUGGAAUCAAAGACACAGAGGGGCAAGACCAAAAAUCAACACUUAAAUGACAUGGAUUAAGUCAUAUUCUGCACCUUAGCCCCUAUCAGUUAUAUUCUACCUUGAUGAUGCAAGUAGA